CUAUGUUGGCCAGCCUGGUCUCGAACUCCUGACCUCAUGAUCCUCCCACCUUGGUCUCCCAAAGUGCUGGGAUUACAGGUGUGAGCCACAGCGCCCGGCCCAUCCUCAGCAAUAUUUUGACUGUUAGCUAAGUUUGAAGUUUUUGCAUUUUAUGGGUGAGAAUGAUAGCUUGUUUUAUUUUGCUUUCCCUGCAUUGCCAGUGAGAUAGAACUGUGUUGACUGGUUAUUUACAGUUCUCCUUUGCCCGUUCAGAUUCCUUGCUGCAUUUCCACAUGAGUUGUCUUACAAACAACUACACACAUUUGCUUUUUGGAAGUGUCAGUGCAAGGUAUCCCCCCUCAAAGAUGAUCUUAACUAGACAAUAUCCUUUACCCAAGUUAGGGGUAACUGGGUAGGAACUAGAUGGCAUGUAUGUCAGAAAACAUCUAUGAUACCAACCACAUGACAGUUCUGUUUCUCUGAUGUGAUAUUUGUGGUUGAGCCACCAUUACCAGAGAUAAAGUAAAACAAAUGGAAAAGGGUUGAGAAAGGGUGAACUGUAACUUAGUAUAAUUCACCUUGUGUCUUACUGGAAAGCCCUUCCCUGCGGCGCUAGUGUGGAGGGAGCCCCGUGGGCCCACAGUGGCUGCAGGCGUCCCUCUGGGGUACGGAGGAUGAAUGAACUGCCCGGGACCCUGGCUCUGUGUCAGAGGCAGGACUGUUCCACCUGCAGGUAAGGGACAGAGAGGAAGGGGCAGCAGGGGAACCCUGAGGCCUCUGUUUCUUGGGCGGAAGUUGUUUGUAUCGAUGGCUUGAAGUGGAUGAAAGGGAUAUGCCUCUAGGUUUCUAUUAAUAUUUUAUUUUUAAAAAUGUGAUUGCAAAUAUAGAAGAAAAUGCUCCAAAAUGUUAAUACUCAUUAUCUCAGGAAGGUGGAAUUAUAAAUAUCCUUAUUUACUGUAUACUUUUCCAGUUUUCUAAAGCAAGUUUCGCAUUAUUUCUGUAAUCAGGAAAAAGCUCUUAGGACUCUUACAGUUUGGAGGAGGCGGAGGCCCAGCGGCUGCACUGGCCGGCGGGCGUCCCACGUGGAGCACGGUUCCGGCCUAGGGGAGACGCCCUGGCUUCCGCUCGCUGCCCUUAGCAAGGCUCCCCCGAUGGAGGGUGACGCAGGAGGACGAAUGUUUCUUGUGCUGUUUGCAGCUGGAAGAAGACAAAUCACACAUAUGGAAGGAUCCCAUACAUGAGAAGAGCCAUGACAGCAGCGCUGAACAGCCCAGCCACAGGGACCGUCACGAACCAGGCCACGAAGAUGUUCCGAAAAAGGCGCCAGUCCACAGCCUUGCGGGAGCGGAUCCAGCCCACGGCCACCACUGAGCCCACCUGUGAGAGCACAGACAUUGCAAAGUAAAAACAGCUUUCACAUAUACAAAUUGUCGGCCAGGUGCAGUGGCUCACACCUGUAAUCCCAGCACUUUGGGAGGCCAAGGCGGGCGGAUACGAGGUCAGAAGAUCGAGACCAUCCUGGCUAACAU